AGCGAACGCUGGCGGCAGGCCUAACACAUGCAAGUCGAACGAACCUUUCGGGGUUAGUGGCGGACGGGUGAGUAACACGUGGGAACGUGCCUUUAGGUUCGGAAUAACUCAGGGAAACUUGUGCUAAUACCGAAUGUGCCCUUCGGGGGAAAGAUUUAUCGCCUUUAGAGCGGCCCGCGUCUGAUUAGCUAGUUGGUUGAGGUAAUGGCUCACCAAGGCGACGAUCAGUAGCUGGUCUGAGAGGAUGACCAGCCACAUUGGGACUGAGACACGGCCCAGACUCCUACGGGAGGCAGCAGUGGGGAAUCUUGCGCAAUGGGCGAAAGCCUGACGCAGCCAUGCCGCGUGAAUGAUGAAGGUCUUAGGAUUGUAAAAUUCUUUCACCGGGGACGAUAAUGACGGUACCCGGAGAAGAAGCCCCGGCUAACUUCGUG
rnacentral:rRNA from 1 species